UGGGGAAUAUUGGACAAUGGGGGGAACCCUGAUCCAGCCAUGCCGCGUGUGUGAAGAAGGCCUUAUGGUUGUAAAGCACUUUAAGCGAGGAGGAGGGUACUGGUAUUAAUACUACCAGCUACUGGACGUUACUCGCAGAAUAAGCACCGGCUAACUCUGUGCCAGCAGCCGCGGUAAUACAGAGGGUGCGAGCGUUAAUCGGAUUUACUGGGCGUAAAGCGUGCGUAGGCGGCUAAUUGAGUCGGAUGUGAAAUCCCCGAGCUUAACUUGGGGAUUGCAUUCGAUACUGGGUAGCUAGAGUGUGGGAGAGGAUGGUAGAAUUCCAGGUGUAGCGGUGAAAUGCGUAGAGAUCUGGAGGAAUACCGAUGGCGAAGGCAGCCAUCUGGCCUAACACUGACGCUGAGGUACGAAAGCAUGGGGAGCAAACAGG
rnacentral:rRNA from 1 species